AAUUCCCCGGAACAAGGAAACGCAAUGCAUAAAUUCCAGUCCAGAUACUUUGUCCGCUUUUCUUCUUGGUCAUAAAAUUUUCACGGCGACGUGCAACAUUGCGGAACUAUUUACCGUGUGUGUGCAUUCCGCGAUACGCGAUUAUCGUUGCGGAAACGAAGAAAAUGCCUUCUGCAUUAUUAGGUCGGAGGGAAGAUCGCAUUUGUGAAUCGCAUACUAUCGACACACUCAUCGCAGCAGCGAGAACAAUUUCGCGUUGAUAGACGAUCGAUCUUCAAUUCGAAAAGAGAACGAAGCAAAUCUACAUCGAUGUGUCAAUCUGUUCAGCUAUAUGUCACAUAUAAAUAUACUACUAUCAGUUAUCCGGGGGAAAGAGAAUAUGUAGCGGUGGCAUGACUGAGAGUGCAUGACUUCGAAAAGGUUGUCCGCCGUACAUUCUCGUCAUUGGCCUACAAAAAAAAGAGAGAGAGAGAGAGAGAGAAAACGGGAAAUGGAGGAGAAAAAGAGGCAUAACAGACCCGAGUAAUUCUCUUGCUAUCUCUAUACAUCCCAUUGGACGCGAUGCGUAUGUCCGCUGGAAGGGCUUCGGGGAUUCAGCGUUGCAAGAAAGAGGAACAGAGGGUGUGGCAAAAGGAGCUCUCUUGUCCACGGACAGUCCACGCCGGCGAUGCGGCAUAUCGAUUUUAUUUUUAUCCCCCGACCGCCUUCCCCGUCGAGUUCGCGAAGAGGUCCCGGGUUUUAAAAGAACGCUUUCACCCCUCCGCUCAUUCCACCCUCCUCCCCCCCUUUCUCGACAUCAACCUCACGGGGUGGAAGCGAGAGACCCCGAGUCGCGAAUUGAACGAAAGUUUCGUGCAACCGAGAAGUUCGUUACGAUGCGUUUUCAUCUGCGCUUAGGCCGAAGGGCGCUGCACGUCCUGCGAGCUUCCAAGUAAUUACAUCAGACAUUGGCAUCGAUCGUGAAAGGACUCGGAUUACGCUUUUGAGAACAUUGAAAGGCGCGAGAAUUUCCCCUUUCAAUAGCCUAGAACGUAUGAAAGCUGGAUCGGUAGAUGAUCAGAAAUUGGCUUUUAAGGGGUCAAGGGGUAUGUAUCAUACGAUCCUCACGAGCACCGUUAUUCGAAUUAGAUUCCGUUCCAUUUCAAUACACCCAUUUUAAUGUAUCAAAUUUGCGUUAAAAUAUUCCAUAAAAUUUUGUAGUUAAUUUUGUAAAUAAUAACAGCCGUAUACAAACGUCAAAUCGUACCAGUUAAUUGUUCGCAUAAUUUACAAUAAUAUUAUAUUGUGAAAAUAAUAGAGGCACAUAAAAGCUCCAUUGUUGUCUUUAUUGCCUCAUCCUCGAGAAAUAAAUGGACAUGUCAACGGUAUAUUGCUAUAAGUCUCUUUGUAUAUCGCUGUAUAUAUACAAUAAAUACAUCUCGCAGGAAAAA